GACGAACGCUGGCGGCGUGCUCAACACAUGCAAGUCGAACGGAAAGGCCCUGCUUUUGUGGGGUGCUCGAGUGGCGAACGGGUGAGUAACGCGUGAGUAACCUGCCCUUGACUUUGGGAUAACUUCAGGAAACUGGGGCUAAUACCGGAUAGGAGCUCCUGCUGCAUGGUGGGGGUUGGAAAGUUUCGGCGGUUGGGGAUGGACUCGCGGCUUAUCAGCUUGUUGGUGGGGUAGUGGCUUACCAAGGCUUUGACGGGUAGCCGGCCUGAGAGGGUGACCGGCCACAUUGGGACUGAGAUACGGCCCAGACUCCUACGGGAGGCAGCAGUGGGGAAUAUUGCACGAUGGGCGGAAGCCUGAUGCAGCAACGCCGCGUGCGGGAUGACGGCCUUCGGGUUGUAAACCGCUUUCGCCUGUGACGAAGCGUGAGUGACGGUAAUGGGUAAAGAAGCACCGGCUAACUACGUG
rnacentral:rRNA from 1 species